UGUUGCGAGUUAAAAAGCCCCUUGAUAAAGGCAGCAUGUGUUAAAAGCCGAGGUUCAAGACCACUUGCAACCUCUUCAUCUAAAAACUCAAAAGCAACAUCCAACUUGCCUCCACAACAAGAGUUAUAUAUAAAUAUCUCAAAAGUUAAUGCAUCAGGGGAACAAUUGCUUUCUUUCAUUUUCUGAAAUAAUUCAUAAGCAUCAGCAUUUUUACCAUUCUUUAGCAAACUGCUAAUUAUGUAGU
rnacentral:misc_RNA from 1 species